rnacentral:rRNA from 1 species
UACGAAGGGUGCAAGCGUUAUUCGGAUUUAUUGGGUGUAAAGGGUGUGUAGACGGUAUGUUAAGUCCGCUGUUAAAUUUCCCGGCCUAACUGGGAACCAGCGGUGGAUACUGAUGUGCUAGAGGAUGGAAGAGAGAAGUGGAAUUCCCGGAGUAGCGGUAAAAUGCGCAGAUAUCAGGAAGAACACCCGUGGCGAAGGCGGCUCUCUGGGACGGUACUGACGCUGAGACGCGAAAGCGUGGGGAGCGAACAGG